CGCCUUAAACAAUAAUUUCAUGAUCUAUUUCCUCCACUCUUGAAAGUCAUAUAAUGCUCUUCCCUGUUCCUAUAAAAUGUAUUUACAACUUCCAACUUACACGCCUGCGCAGAAUCAAGUACACUCUCUCCCAUAUAAUGUGUCUCUCUCCAAAAUCAUAACCUCCGUGUACUCUUUCAUAGCCAGUCCAAUCACUCCUUAAAUGUUCAUUCAUAUCACCACCGGUCACAAUGUCCUCCUUUUCAGAAGAAGAUAUGGGUGUGUCGUUCUUUGUUGGACCAACGUUUAGUUACUGGCCAACACAUCUUCUACCUAGUAACUAAAGCCAGAAGCUUCCAAAAGCCAACACUAGAGGCAAUGGAAGGAGCUUUUAGAAAUAUUUAGUUGUUGACCUGGGCAUAUAGUAUUUGGCCUUGCCGAGAAUCGGCUGCAUUGACCAGAUAUGGAACACCUGGUCAGCAACGUAUUUAGCACAGCAGAAGGGUUAACCAUAAUUAUUUGCACACCUUCAAAUAAUCAUCAUCAAUACUUAAGCACUAAGCAAUAACAGUUGCAUUUGUCUAAAAACAUUUGACACUAACACUGUGAAAAAAAGCUGGCCUGAAUGAUUAAUACAAAUUUACUAUUACUUCC